rnacentral:tRNA from 1 species
GCGAAAUAUCUCAGUUGGGAGGGCGUUAGACUAUAGAUCGAAAGGUCCCUGGUUCAAUCCCGGGAUUUGGCA